AUUGAACGCUAGCGGGGUGCCUUACACAUGCAAGUCGAACGGAGUGGCGAACGGGUGAGUAAUGUAUCGGAACGUGCCCAGCAGCGGGGGAUAACUACGCGAAAGCGUAGCUAAUACCGCACACCAUUGGAGCGGCCGAUAUCGGAUUAGCUAGUUGGUGGGGUAACGGCUCACCAAGGCGCCGACCCGUAGCUGGUUUGAGAGGACGACCAGCCACCCUGGGACUGAGACACGGCCCAGACUCCUACGGGAGGCAGCAGUGGGAAAUUUUGGACAAUGGGGGAAACCUGAACCCAGACAGCCGGCGGGUGCGAGGAGGGCCUUCGGUUUGUAAGGCACUUUUGGCAGGAAAGCGGUACCUGCAGAAUAAGCACCGGCUAACUACGUGCCAGCAGCCGCGGUAAUAC
rnacentral:rRNA from 1 species